GUGCCCAUAGCUCAGAUGGAUAGAGCAAUGGCUUCCUAAGCCGUGUGCCCGGGGUUCGAAUCCCUGUGGGCAUGCCA
rnacentral:tRNA from 2 species